UUUCCCUAGCAACGGGAGGAGAAAGGCUGCUUAGACACUCGCGAGCCCCAGCGUUCUCCUGGAACGUGCCCCGGCUCCGUAGCGUGGCAGCCACUCGGCAUCUUCCCGUGGCUCCGUCAGCAGCCAAAAGGAGAAGGGUCCAUCGGAAAAAUGGCAUAUUACAAAUUUUGCUUUGGGAAGCAGAGCUCGGCUCAGACCAUUGUCAAAGGGAAGAGAGGGGGAGGCGGUUCUUAAAGCAGCCGCGGCCCCUUUGCCGCCCAGCAGCAGCAGCAGCAGCAGCAGCAGCAGCAGCAGCAGCUCUGGAGCGUGCAGCGGAGCCCCCGGGGCGGAGAGCUGGUAAUCCGGGACUGGAUCUGACUUUCAGAAACUUAACCUAGCACAACUGCUCCCCGCGGUCUCCCGGGCCACCCAGCGGGUGAAGAAGCGUCCCUUCAAACGCGAACUUCGGGGUGAAGUGUGGGAAAGUACAUCUCUGGAAGGGAAAUUCUCCACCCAAUAACCCACCCGGAGUCACAGGGGAGUUUAUGAACAUGAACAUCUUCCAAUCACAAAACAUGGAAAUACCUAUGAAGAUGGUAUCCACCUUGAAAUUUCUCUGCCAUUGAGUGAAUUAAGGUCACAUUUUUUCAUUUGCAUCCUCUGGGACAGUAGGAGGGCAAGGAUGAAGACAUGACCAGGAACAUGGAAGCAACAAAUCCUGCGGAGUUUCCUGUGUCUAUUAGAUGUUCUUGUGAAACAGCUUGGAGAAAGCCCAGUAUGACCCCUCUCUGGCCUGCAGCUAAGCUACAUGUUUCAAUUGUCAGAGCUUCCUUGGCCUUCUUUUAUUAAAUUCAACACUGGCACCAGGGUGUGAAGUUGCUCGGGAAAUCAUUGAUGCCAGUGAUGUGCAACGGAGAAAGGACAGCAUCUUCCACAAAUGGUGCCAGGAAAACUGGAUACUAUAUGAAGGAGGAUAAAACUAGAUUCUCAUGCCACCCUUCACAAAACUCAACUCUAAGUGGGUCCAGGACUUCAAAGAUCUGAUACCUUAACAGUGUUAGAGAAGAAACUAGGGAAAACUCUUCAAAUAAUAGGCAUAGGUAAACACUUUAUGCACAGAACUCCAAUAGCACAAGUGUUAACAACAAAUGAAUGGAGCCUCCUAAAACUGAAAGGCAUCUGGACAGAAAAAGACAGCAUCACUUGAGUGAAGAAUGGGCCUACAGAAUGGGGCUUCUUUUUCCAGAAGAGUCUAUGUUGGCUUAUGAUUCCACAGGGGAUAUCCACAACUCCAGGGAUAGGCACGGUGGCAGCAGGUAAGCUGAAGCAGGACAUUAAGAGAUCACAUCUUCAACCACAAACCCCACACAGAGCAAACUACAAGUGGGAGAAGCUACAAACUCUCAAAAUGCACUCUCGAGGACAUAGAUCUUCCAACAGAGAAGAAUUGGGAGAAGAUUUACCAGGUAUAUGCCUGGCAGAGGAAUAGACUCUAGAAUAUACAAAGGGGA